CCCUAUUAUUUUGGAGCGUUAAUUUUUUGUGUCUGAGUAGUAUUAGUUAUGUUCUUGAAACUUAAAGAAUUUGGCGGUAUUUUAUACCAUCCAGAGGAAUCUGUCUCGUCAUCGAUAGUCCACGUUGGACCUUACUUAGUUGCUUUGGUUUGUAUACCGCCGUUUAUUGAUUAUCUUUUUAGAGUUUAUUAAUUUUCUAGUUUCUUUAUUUUGAUUUAUUUCAGGUCAAGGUGCAGCUUGUUUCUAAGUGGUAUGAUGGAUUACACUGUUAUUUGUUUGUUGGAUUAUUGGUUUUGAUACUGAUAUGAAAUUGGAUUUGGUUGUAAUGUUUUGUAGAUUGUUUUCGUGAUAAUUGGCUCUAAGAUAUGUACACAUCGCCCGUCGCUCUCGUUUAUUUUUGUUAAUGAGAUAAGUC
rnacentral:rRNA from 1 species